rnacentral:rRNA from 1 species
CUCAACCCCGGAAGUGCGACUGAAACUGGCGGGCUUGAGUAUGGGAGAGGGAAGUGGAAUUCCUGGUGUAGCGGUGAAAUGCGUAGAUAUCAGGAGGAACACCGGUGGCGAAGGCGACUUCCUGGACCAAUACUGACGCUGAGGCGCGAAGGCGUGGGUAGCAAACAGGAUUAGAUACCCUGGUAGUCCACGCAGUAAACGGUGAUCACUAGGUGUUGCGGGCUUUGAUGUCUGCAGUGCCGAAGCAAACGCAUUAAGUGAUCCGCCUGGGGAGUACGGCCGCAAGGUUAAAACUCAAAGGAAUUGACGGGGGCCCGCACAAGCGGUGGAGCAUGUGGUUUAAUUCGACGCAACGCGAAGAACCUUACCUGGGUUUGACAUCUGGGGUAUGCCAUGGAGACAUGGCAGUGCCUUUCGGGGAGCCC